AUGUUCCCGUGCCAGCCGCUGGUGUCCCCGCCGCUGCCGCGGGCCCUCGCCGCCGUGGCGCAUGUCUCCAUGCGGCGGCUGCCAUGGACGUCAACAUAGCUACGCGUGGUGCGGUGCAUGGCCAAGUUGGCGGUGCGGAUGGUGGCGAAGAAGAUCCAGCGGGAGCUGGCGGACAUGUUGACCCGUGACCCCAUCAUGCAGCAUGCCGUCCUCCCCGAGGCCGCCCUCGGCGCCGACCGCUCCCUCUCCUCCCUCACCACCGUCGCCGACGUCGAGCUCUCCAAUGACCUCCAGGUGUGCAAGGUGUAUGUGUCUGUGUUCGGGGACGAGAGGGGGAAGAAGGUGGCCAUGGCCGGGCUCAAGGACAAGACCAAGUACGUCAGGAGCCAGAUUGGCAAGCGGAUGAAGCUGCGCCUCACGCCCGAGAUACGGUUCAUCGAAGACGAGUCCAUGCAGCGCGGAAGCAGGAUUCUUACUAUACUGGACAAACUAAAGGAGCAAAGGGAGCAGAGAGAAGGAUGUUCCCGUGCCGGCCGCUGGUGUCCCCGCCGCUGA
rnacentral:rRNA from 1 species